UACGAAGGGGGCUAGCGUUGCUCGGAAUUACUGGGCGUAAAGGGAGCGUAGGCGGAUAGUUUAGUCAGAGGUGAAAGCCCGGGGCUCAACUCCGGAAUUGCCUUUAAGACUGCAUCGCUAGAAUUGUGGAGAGGUAAGUGGAAUUCCGAGUGUAGAGGUGAAAUUCGUAGAUAUUCGGAAGAACACCAGUGGCGAAGGCGACUUACUGGACACAUAUUGACGCUGAGGUGCGAAAGCGUGGGGAGCAAACAGG
rnacentral:rRNA from 1 species